rnacentral:sRNA from 1 species
UGUAUUUUAUACAGCUUGACCCGGCGUCGU